rnacentral:lncRNA from 1 species
UCCCCUCCAUCCUCUUCCUUCUCCUCCUCUUCUUUAAAACCACACCCAGUCCAGUGAGUGUUGCCUGAACAUACAUGGGCAUUGAGCCAUCCCAGGGGCUUGGGCAGCCUACCAGCAGUCAUCCAUACCUUUGGAGAAGCUCGGCCGUCCUUCCUUGGAAGCAUCCAUUGGCCUAUGACCUCCGGACCCACAACUUUUGACUAGGUGCAUGGCACUAGAUUUGUGUUCCCUCCUCUGAAGCAGACCUCAGAUCCCGUCAGAAAACGGGUGGCUUCCACAACCACCGUUCCUCUAUGGCACUGGUAGCAGGGCUUGCUUUGGCUUUGUUCCUUAACUUCCAGCUACCUUGAGAUUCUAGGCAGCUCCCCUGCAGCCAGAGAACCAGCUAUUCAGCUGCGUGUGACAGAUGACAAUGUCCCUACCCCUACCCGCCUGCCCACCCAGAGCUCUGACCUGGUGUCAGCCUCUUGUGCUGAAUAUAGGCAUCUACAGCUGCUGACCGAGGGCGGGAUCUGAACAGCUCCGGUUAUGCAUCAUGUAUAUCUCUGGGAUGUGUACCGAGAGUCACCAUGGAAACCUGGGUAUGGGACUCAGUCACCAUGGAAACCAGCCACUGGGUAUGCCUGUCAGGAAGCUUCUAGAGUGUGUUCACGGAAGUGGGAAGAGCCACCCUGCGUGUUGGCAGUGCCAUCUCUUCGUGAUCUGGGGUCCUGGACAGAAUGAAAAGGAGCAAGCAAGCAGAGUACCAGCAGUCACCCCUCUCUGCUUCCUGACUGUGGGUGCCAUGUGACCAGCUGUCUCAUGUUCCUGCCACUGUGCCUCCCUGCCAUGACGGACUGUGCACCCUCACACUGUGAGCCAGCGCGAACCCUUCCUUCUUUAAGGUGCUUUUUGUUACAGCGGUGAGAUGACGGUUAAUAUGCUGCAGAAACACAUGCACGGUGUGCAGGGUUCACGUGGACGACACAAUCCCUGCUGCAUCUCACUUGACUAGCUCUCAGCAUCUGCUUCAGCCGCUCUUCUAGGAAACCACUCUUAUUCUUCUGAACUCUCUUUUGCUCAUAAAUUAAAAUGCAAAUUCUAUC